rnacentral:lncRNA from 1 species
CUUGUCCAAAGACCUAACUUGGGAAGCAUUGGGAUACAGCAGCUCAGCUGGAGAGAAAUUAGCAUGAGGUGAAAGAUGCAGUCUGUGACGGCAGCAUAGGCCUGACAAGAGCUUGGAGAGCAAUGACAGGAUGUCCACUAUGAGACCACAGGACCAGCUGAAACCCGCCAGAACCAAUAUGACCGACUGGAGCUCGCGCAAGGAUUUGCCGGGCCACGGGGUGAUCUUUUGACGUCACCGUCUGAACUUCCGCCCCAAGUUUCAUACUAACUCCCCCUAAAUUUUCACAUGCCACCCAUGAAGAGGCAACUGCACAUGGGCAAGGGACUUUCCAAACAUCCCCGUUCCCUGGCCAAUCACUAAUCUACCCUGAAACACUUUCCUCCAAAUCCUUCUUUUACAAAUAUGGCUUUCAAGCCAGUACAAGGAAGACAGUUUUGAGCCCAUCUCCUGUCACGUUGCUUGGCCGUUUUGCAAUAAAC